CUCUUCUUGGAUUAAUAGGAAGUAGGAUCUGCUCCAUGCGAAAAGUAAAUUGCCGCAGCAUCUUGACUGUGCUAAGGUAGCAAAAUAAUUUGGCUCUUCAUUGGAGUCUGGAAUGAACGAUUUGACAAGGUCUAUUCUGUCUCACCCGUUAGAUUUGAAAUUGGAUUGUUUGUAAAAAUACAAACAUAGAAGAGAGGGACGAAAAGACCCUAUAGAUCUUUACUUUAUUUUGUUUAGUACACUCUAAAGUUCUGGGCAGUUAAAGUUUACUUGGGAUAAGACUAAAAACGAAUUUUGGUGGUAGGUAAAGACUGAUUAGUCGAAAAGAUGAUUGAAUAAAAGAUAAGUUACCUUAGCGAUAACAGGAUAAUUUCUUUGCUUAGAACUUAUAUACAAAGGAGUUUAUUAUUUCGAUGUUGAAUUAAGUUAUCUUCCACUCGAAGAAGAGCGGGGAGUCAGUCUGUUCGACUGUUAAAAACUU
rnacentral:rRNA from 1 species